GCCUCUGUAGCUCAGUUGGUUAGAGCACUGCACCGGGAUUGCAGGGCCGCAGGUUUGAUUCCUUCCCAGUGGCG